rnacentral:rRNA from 1 species
GGAUGUUAGCGGCGGACGGGUGAGUAACACGUGGGUAACCUGCCUGUAAGACUGGGAUAACUCCGGGAAACCGGAGCUAAUACCGGAUAGUUCCUUGAACCGCAUGGUUCAAGGAUGAAAGACGGUUUCGGCUGUCACUUACAGAUGGACCCGCGGCGCAUUAGCUAGUUGGUGGGGUAAUGGCUCACCAAGGCGACGAUGCGUAGCCGACCUGAGAGGGUGAUCGGCCACACUGGGACUGAGACACGGCCCAGACUCCUACGGGAGGCAGCAGUAGGGAAUCUUCCGCAAUGGACGAAAGUCUGACGGAGCAACGCCGCGUGAGUGAUGAAGGUUUUCGGAUCGUAAAGCUCUGUUGUUAGGGAAGAACAAGUACGAGAGUAACUGCUCGUACCUUGACGGUACCUAACCAGAAAGCCACGGCUAACUACGUGCCAGCAGCCGCGGUAAUACGUAGGUGGCAAGCGUUGUCCGGAAUUAUUGGGCGUAAAGGGCUCGCAGGCGGUUUCUUAAGUCUGAUGUGAAAGCCCCCGGCUCAACCGGGGAGGGUCAUUGGAAACUGGGAAACUUGAGUGCAGAAGAGGAGAGUGGAAUUCCACGUGUAGCGGUGAAAUGCGUAGAGAUGUGGAGGAACACCAGUGGCGAAGGCGACUCUCUGGUCUGUAACUGACGCUGAGGAGCGAAAGCGUGGGGAGCGAACAGGAUUAGAUACCCUGGUAGUCCACGCCGUAAACGAUGAGUGCUAAGUGUUAGGGGGUUUCCGCCCCUUAGUGCCUC